rnacentral:hammerhead_ribozyme from 15 species
AACUGGUCGAAAGCUGAUGCCGCUCUCUUGACGAGUCCAUGGCAGGCCUAAACCAGUU